CAUCCAUACCCUUGUUCUUGAAGCAUAGUAAAGCAUGACCUAAAAUGAACUCCUUUUUGAUCAAUGUAUUGCAGAAAGCAAGUGUGGGGGAAGUGAUUCUUGUGUGUGUGUGUGUACCAGAGUCCUUAAUAAGGCACGGGUAGAGAAAAGAAAAAAAAAGUAUGAAAAAGAGCUCUAAAGUGUUAUUUGUUAAAAAAGGGUCUAAACAAUUGAAUUCAGUCCUAAGUGUUGCAUGAAUCUUCCCUUUGUAUGUAAAAGUUGAUUCUGCAUUCUAAAGUGAAUUCCAAGUGUCUAUUUCAUUGCUUUGCUUGCUAUCGCUUUAAGAAUGUUUGUUAUUCCUAUCCUUUCUUUGUUAGCCAUUACCCCCAAGCCCUGUUACAACAUUUGACUUCAAUCUUGAGUGUUGUGCGUUUCAAUUUGUGGAGUUCGAAAUUGGUAUGAGCAUAUGGUGUCACUGGUUCUCACAUCUAAGUAGUAGCAUACCAUUCAUGAGAUCAUAUCUAAACAUGCUUAAUAACUCCAGAAAAUUGCUUUCCUUUGUUAUACAUAUAUGUGAGUCCCAGUCUCUAGUGUAGGGUGUGUAGUCAGAAAAUGUGUGUGCAAAUAGAGAGUAUCUUCUAAGGAAUUGAGCAAAUUCUCUAAGGCAUGUUAGUACAUUAAAAACAUUGUUUUAAUUGGUUAAUUAUGAACUAGUAAGUGGUGACUGUGAUUAAGUUUGUGCUCAAGUGUGAGGAUAACCAAAAGCUGUGGGAAUGAUGAUUUUUAACAUGUCAUGUGCAUUGGAAAUCCCUGAGGCAAAUGUUGGAAGGUUAGGUUGUGUUUUGUUUGUUUUGUUUUGCUUUGUUUCUUUUGUUUAUUUUGUUUUGCUCGAGGACUAGCAAAAGCUAAGUGUGGGGGAAUUUGAUAGG
rnacentral:lncRNA from 1 species